rnacentral:rRNA from 1 species
UUCUCAAAGAGGUAAUUUUGAGUAGAGCCUGCUCAAUGAAAUUAAAUAGCUGCAGGAGACUGUACUAAGGUAGCAUAAUCAAUAGUUUUUUAAUUGGAAACUAGAAUGAAGGGUUAAAUAUGUAAAAAAAGGUAUUAUAAAAGAGAAAUGAAUUUUGGUUUUUUGUAAAAAUACAAAGAUAGAGUUUAGGGACAAGAAGACCCUAUAAAGCUUUAAAACUAGGAUUGAUAAAAAAAUCUUAAGUUUUUUUGUUGGGGAAAUAGAAUAAGAAGACUAUUUUAUUUUUGAGCCAAAAUUUUUGACUAGAAGAAAAAGUUACUUUAGGGAUAACAGCAUAAUAAUAAGAUUGGAGCACAAAUUUGAUUUUAUGAUUGUGACCUCGAUGUUGGAUUAAUUUUACUUUUAGGUGAAGAAGUUUAAAGAAGGUAGUCUGUUCGACUAAUAAAAAAUUACA